GUAACAUCAGUUACGUUUUGAUACUCGGACUUGUCGGACGUUGUGGAAAAGUGCUCUAUUGGAUUUACGGUUAUUGUGGCGCGCUUACGUGUGCGUGUGUGUGUUCGUGUUGGUGGCUUUUUCAUUGUAUUCUGUUGUGUAGUGUAGUGUAGUGAGUUGUUUUUGGUAUAAUGACAGCGGGCAGCACAAGCGUACGACGGUAUGAAAUGGCUGCAUAGUGCUUUAGGCCAGUGUGAAUGAAAUGGCCGUAAACGGAAAGGUGUAAAUUCAAUAAAUGAAAUAAGAAAAUGUUCAAUAUGAGUUUUUGCAGCCAAGAAAAUAAAUGAGUUUUAUGUAAGUGUUUUAUUAACGUUAAAAAAAAAUGUUCUUAAUUAAAAAUAAAAGUGAGAAAAUAGAAGAAAAUUAUGUAAAUUUGCUGAAAGUGUGAUGAAUUAGUGGCAAGCGAAAGAAAAAAGAAAAAUAAAAUAUCACCAAGAAGCCCGGCAGUCAGUCAUUAUUAACGAAUUCGCUGCAUACUUUUUGUUGUUGUGUUACGAGGCGAAAUAGGUUUUAAGACCAAGUUAAAAAGCAAUAGCAAUAACAACAAUGGUGUGGUGCGUAGAAAUCGUAAAGAAACAAAAAAGAAUUAUGUGUUUUACUUGUACCUAGUA